rnacentral:rRNA from 1 species
AGACCCGAAACCCGGUGAUCUAGCCAUGGGCAGGUUGAAGGUUGGGUAACACUAACUGGAGGACCGAACCGACUAAUGUUGAAAAAUUAGCGGAUGACCUGUGGCUGGGGGUGAAAGGCCAAUCAAACCGGGAGAUAGCUGGUUCUCCCCGAAAGCUAUUUAGGUAGCGCCUCGUGAAUUCAUCUCCGGGGGUAGAGCACUGUUUCGGCUAGGGGGCCAUCCCGGCUUACCAACCCGAUGCAAACUGCGAAUACCGGAGAAUGUUAUCACGGGAGACACACGGCGGGUGCUAACGUCCGUCGUGAAGAGGGAAACAACCCAGACCGCCAGCUAAGGUCCCAAAGUCAUGGUUAAGUGGGAAACGAUGUGGGAAGGCCCAGACAGCCAGGAUGUUGGCUUAGAAGCAGCCAUCAUUUAAAGAAAGCGUAAUAGCUCACUGGUCGAGUCGGCCUGCGCGGAAGAUGUAACGGGGCUAAACCAUGCACCGAAGCUGCGGCAGCGAACGUAUCACCCAAGACAACUUUACGGAGUUGACGAUUGACGGAGCGAAGCGACGUCAAAGCGUUCAUUAAAGUCGAGUUGGCUUAGGGAUACGUUCGUUGGGUAGGGGAGCGUUCUGUAAGCCUGUGAAGGUGUGUCGUGAGGCAUGCUGGAGGUAUCAGAAGUGCGAAUGCUGACAUAAGUAACGAUAAAGCGGGUGAAAAGCCCGCUCGCCGGAAGACCAAGGGUUCCUGUCCAACGUUAAUCGGGGCAGGGUGAGUCGACCCCUAAGGCGAGGCCGAAAGGCGUAGUCGAUGGGAAACGGGUUAAUAUUCCCGUACUUGGUGUUACUGCGAAGGGGGGACGGAGAAGGCUAUGUUGGCCGGGCGACGGUUGUCCCGGUUUAAGCGUGUAGGUGUGUGUUCCAGGUAAAUCCGGUUCACUUUAACACUGAGGCGUGACGACGAGGCACUACGGUGCUGAAGCAACAAAUGCCCUGCUUCCAGGAAAAGCCUCUAAGCAUCAGGUAACAUCAAAUCGUACCCCAAACCGACACAGGUGGUCAGGUAGAGAAUACCAAGGCGCUUGAGAGAACUCGGGUGAAGGAACUAGGCAAAAUGGUGCCGUAACUUCGGGAGAAGGCACGCUGACACGUAGGUGAAGUGAUUUACUCAUGGAGC